rnacentral:rRNA from 1 species
GACGAACGCUGGCGGCGUGCUUAACACAUGCAAGUCGAACGGAAAGGCCCCUUUGGGGGUACUCGAGUGGCGAACGGGUGAGUAACACGUGAGUAACCUGCCCUCGACUUCGGGAUAACUUCAGGAAACUGGGGCUAAUACCGGAUAGGAAUCCUUGCUGCAUGGUGGGGGUUGGAAAGCUUCGGCGGUUGUGGAUGGACUCGCGGCUUAUCAGCUUGUUGGUGGGGUAGUGGCUUACCAAGGCUUUGACGGGUAGCCGGCCUGAGAGGGCGACCGGCCACAUUGGGACUGAGAUACGGCCCAGACUCCUACGGGAGGCAGCAGUGGGGAAUAUUGCACAAUGGGCGGAAGCCUGAUGCAGCAACGCCGCGUGCGGGAUGACGGCCUUCGGGUUGUAAACCGCUUUCAGCAGGGGCGAAGCUUGUGGUGACGGUACCUGCAGAAGAAGCACCGGCUAACUACGUG